AUCACUCUCUCUGUUAUUCCAGCACGGCAAAUACCAACUGUUAAUACUACACUGUAAUUUCUGUCGUGUUCUCUAGUGCCUGAAGCGCCAUGACCUGACUGCUGAUGGUGAGCCCUCCCUUCCAUCCUCGGGAUUAUGACAAGUUAUUAAUUGCCACCAUUAGCUGCAGCAGCCUGCCUGAGAUCUCUGCUGCUCUCUGGAGACCCACAAAUCCUCCCUGAGCGCUCUUUACCAGCCUUGCAGAUAAUGUACUUACACAUCUCAGAGCUUGCUAAAUAGACUGAGCAGGCCAGAGUUCACUCCUCACAUGCUCCUGCCGAGUGCCUGGCACAGAUGAGACACCCUCGUCCUCUCCUGGAAGUCCUUCCUAUGGAAUUCUUUUGUAAUUAGCUAGAAAAGUGAAUAAAAAAUGACAAG